AUGGAAACCAGGUACUGUGAAUUUUCUCCCAGUAGAUUAUGGCUGAAAGGAUUGGGCCCACUGGAAAUCCUCAAAAGCUAUCAGCUGAAACUAACCAGAAGCCAGAAGACAAGGCAACCCACAGAUGCAGCUUAUUCAUUCAGCCCCAACAGAGCAGAACAAAUAAGGCUGAAGAGUAGGUGUGCACUCACACAGAGAAUACAGCUGGCACAGAAGCUGACAAGAUGUUUCCGAAUGAGCUUUGCCAGGUGUUGGCACAUUUGUGGGAUCACCAUGGAUACAAGUUCUGCUCCUCAAUUUUUAAGGCAAGAAUCUUAAUUUCACCAGUUAUCUAAUGGUAGCCAAGUUCUACUUACAACACCCAAACUUACCAAGUUUAGAAUAUACAUACGUACAAACUUACUCUAAAGGUGAUAUCCAUUCAUAUGUUAUAUUUUCCCAAUUAAAGAAUAUUUUGCAUGACUUGAAAUAGAAAAAAUAAUAAACACACUAAUAUUCAGCUUUUACAUGACUUCCAUAUUUGACAUUUUGACAAAGGAAAGAGAAGUAAAAGAGAAGCAAAAGGCUAUGUGAUGAAGUGGGAAGAAUGUGGUGUUUUUGAAAUCAAACAGCCCAGAGUACCAAUUUCAACUAUACUUGUCAUAACCUUAUUUCUCUAUGAACCAGGGAUGACAGGCCUACUAGAGUUAUUACGAGAAUCAAGAAAUCAAUUUAUGAAAAGUUCCUAGAGUGCUACCUAUAACAUUAUAUAAAAUAUAAGUUUG
rnacentral:lncRNA from 1 species